rnacentral:rRNA from 1 species
UAGGGAAUCUUCCGCAAUGGACGCAAGUCUGACGGAGCAACGCCGCGUGAGUGAAGAAGGAUUUCGGUUCGUAAAACUCUGUUGUUAGAGAAGAACAGCGCAUAGAGUAACUGUUAUGCGUGUGACGGUAUCUAACCAGAAAGGGACGGCUAACUACGUGCCAGCAGCCGCGGUAAUACGUAGGGCGCAAGCGUUAUCCGGAAUUAUUGGGCGUAAAGAGCUUGUAGGCGGUUCGUCGCGUCUGGUGUGAAAGCCCAUCGCUUAACGGUGGGUUUGCGCCGGGUACGGGCGGGCUAGAGUGCAGUAGGGGAGACUGGAAUUCUCGGUGUAACGGUGGAAUGUGUAGAUAUCGGGAAGAACACCAAUGGCGAAGGCAGGUCUCUGGGCUGUUACUGACGCUGAGAAGCGAAAGCGUGGGGAGCGAACAGG